GAUGAGAAGCUUCGACCAAGGUUCGACUCGAGCGAAACGAGAGAACGUUGCCGCAGGCAACGGCCCGAAGGGCGAGGCGCUUUAGCGCCGAGUAAUCCUUCCCCCACCACCA
rnacentral:sRNA from 1 species